GGGACUGGCUCCAACCAGGCGUCUGUUCAUUUACUGCUGCUGCCGGGCAGUGGGCAGGCUGCGGGGAGGGUGAAGGAGCAAGAGUCUCUCUCUCUCUCUCUCUCUCUCUCUCUCUCUCUCUCUCUCUCUCUCUCUCACACACACACACACACACACACACACACAGUGCAUUGUUGAGAAGAGGGCAUUCAGAGUGAAAAAUACAGCAUCAGCAAGGGCUUACAAGCACAGGAAUGAUCUGAAAAUGGCCAGGAAACUCAGGUCACGGAGACAGGAGUUUUCCGUGCUGGGGACCUGACAACACUUUGAUUCUAUUGGCAGUUCCCCAUGCUCAAGGUCCCCAUGCUCAGAUGAAAUGACUCAGAUGAGAUGACAGAGCCGUGGAAUCCACCAGCGAGGCUAAACCUUGACAUGAACUUGAAACGUUUUUCUGUCCGACUCUCCCCCACAGACUGAGGAGCGUCAAGAUGGAGCAGAGGAAGCUGAGUGACCAGGCCAACACCCUGGUGGACCUGUCCAAGGUGAGUGGCGGAGUCCAGAGACAUCCUGGAGCUCCAAGUUGCUGGCAUUUAGACUUCUCAGGUGCAUCUGGGAAGACCUGGCGAUGUCCAGAGUCCACAGCGCAGGACAGAAAAGCAACAGAUACUCCUCCUUGGUUACAAAAUAAGCAAGAUUUAAGUUUUGGACGUUUGCAGCCCACCUGUAGGGGGUUUUGUUUGUUUGUUUUUGGUCCAGGGGUUAAACCCAGGGGCACUUACCCACCAAGCCAUAUCCCCAGCCCUUUUUAUACAUUAUUCUGAGAUAGGGUCUUGCUAAGUUGCUGAGGCUGGCUUUGAACUUGUGAUCUCCUGCCUCAGCCCCCUGAGCCACUGAGAUUACAGGCCCCACGCCACGGCACCCAGUCAUCUUCUUGACUUUUAAAGCUUGCUGUCUGUUUCUUAAAAGGCUCAGGUUUGUCUAAUUAGCUGACCUGCUAAGUCUUUUCUGUGGGUUGUUUUAGUAGCUGCCGUUGAGGGGCUCCUAAGAAAGAGUUCAGGUCACCCAGGGGCAAGACAUGUUAACGAGAACCAAAUAGGUGUAAUGGCCUGGGUCACACCUAAGACCUUUCCAGCGUUCUGUUAUUAUUGGGGACUCAUUUCCCUGCAUCUUCCAAUCUUUACAGUCCAGUUUUUCUUGCCCCAAAUUGGUGGUACAUUUCUCUAUUUCCCAAGAUGCAAUCAACGGUGAACAUGAAGAUUCCCCCUAAAAAAGAGAGCCCUCUUUUGAGAGCUCAAGGCCUUAAGGCUUGAUAUCACAUUGCCAUUCCAUGUUUCAGACACUGAACUGCUGUAAAAUACUGUGAAGAAGCUCCCUCUUGCAUUUCACCAAAGUAGAGAAAGCAAGGCCCCACGUGGGCAGAGCUGGGAGCAUGCACCAUUGUAGACGGGUCCCCCUAACCCCCCUCCCACUGCCUUCUGAUAGGAAUUGUACACCAAGGGUACCGCCCAGGGCCAGGCUGGCAGAACAUUCCAGCAGAUGCCAAUUAUCAUAAUGGAACACAUUCCCUGGGAGAGCAAGAGAGACUCCCUUGGGCAAAUUAACCACCUUUUUUAAAGGGGGUGCAAUCAGAAAUGACUGGUUGUUGGGCCACGGGCAGGCACCUUGUUCAAUAGAGGGAUCAGGCCAAAGAAAAGACCUCCUGAGCCUGCAAGGGCUUCAAUCAGAGAGUAAGUGACUUGGCACAGCUGGGGAGAAGUCGACAGGGCUGCGGACCUCUGGGGGGGGGGUCAGGUGGAGUGGGGGAUUCCUGAGAGGCUGGGUAUGGGGAGGAAGAUAACAGAACAGUGAUGUGCAGGAGAGAACAGCACCCCCAGGGGGAUGUGUUGGUUAAUACUCUUGGGUUCUAGGGUUGGGAUUGUAGGUCAGUGGUAGAGUGCUUGCCUCGCAUGCAUGAGGCCCUGGGUUUGAUCCUCAGAACCACAUAGAAAUAAACAAAUAAAAAUAUAUUGUGUCCAUCUACAACUAAAAAAAAUUUUUUAAAAAGUACCUUGAGUUCAAAUAUUAGAAACCAAACCCAUUGAAACUAAGUUGAAAACUGGAAGAAUUUACUCUAAGGAUGUAAGAACCUCAAAGCAGGCAUGUGAUCAGAGAGGAACUGACUAGAACCAUACCUGGAAAGCUCUUGGGGGGCAUCUCCUUAUGCCAUCUUUGUGUGUGUGUGUGUGUGUGUGUGUGUGCUGGGGAUUGAACCCAGGGCCUUGUGCGUGCUAGGUAAGCACUCUACCAACUGAACUACACCUCAGCCCAAUACCAUCUCUUGACUCUAUCUAUUCAAGGGUCUCUUUUCAAUUCUGUCUCUCUCUUUCAUUCCACCUCCUACCUCCAUGGCAGACUACGGCAGGCCACCAAUUCAGACAGUCUGUGUUAUAGUCUUAGCCACAGGUAAAGAUCAAGUAGCCUCCUAUUUGUCUUAAGUCUGAAUUCUCAGAAGAGAUGCUGAUUGGCCAGUUUGAGUCAUGUGCUCACCUUGCACCCAUCAACCAUGGUCAGGAGGAGGAUGGAGUCAGGCCAGCCUACUCUGUGAGCCUCAGGAAUAGUCCAGUGAGAUUCCCCAGGACGUUCCUUCUGGGAGCAGCAAUGUCACCCAACUCGCCUCUUACCUGGAAGGACACACUGUGACUGAUCUCCUCCAGGAAUAUUAGGUAAACCAGCUUCGAAGCCUGCCUUUCUGCAGUGCCGCCUACAGCCACCCUACAGAGGGAUGGGGCCCACGAGCAGACCGUGGGAAGCACAAACCCCAGUGAGUUAGAAAGAUGCUCUUUUGAAUUCAUAACCUGGAGAGCAAGUUACCUGGAAAAGAGAGCCCUCAGGAAAGAGUUAGGGGGAGAAUCUGCAGUGUGUGUGUGUGUGUGUGUGUGUGUGUAUGUGUGUGUGGGGGGGGGAAUGCCCAGAAGGCCUGGGGAGGAGGUGGAUCGACAUCCAUCCAGUCUUUGUCUUUUCCUCCCAGGAGAUGCCCAAGGUCCUGGCAGCAGCUUAGCAUAUUUCACAUUGGUCGGUGUUUGCCCUGGCAUCCUGUCACCAAGCAACGGAACAGGGGAGGGCAAUCUGAUGCUGUGCUGGCUCCCCUUUCUUUCUUUGUGCUUCACCCCCAUCCCCCGACUCACCACCUUCACAGCCCUGCCCUUCAGGCCUCCCGAGAUUAAAGAUGUGCUGCGCGGCCUCCAAAUCUUAUUUCCUAUAUUGAAUAGCUACCUUAUACAGAGACAGAGCCUGGGAGGGCCUGGACUCUUUACCCGAUUGCUUUAAUUUCUUCCAUUGAAAUGUAAAAAUAAUUCCUACCAUCUGAAGCUCAGGUGAUCAAAUAAGGUAAUACCUGUAAAAAUGCUGUGUAAACUCUAAAGGUUUUGCAAAUGGUAGUGCCGAUUCUGAAUGUAGAUGAGGAAACCAGGAUCUAAGAAACAAAGCAGCUGUCCCAAGGUCAGGCGGGGUGCCAGGGCUGGGGCUGAAACCCAGGGGCUUGGACUGUGAGUCCAGAGCUCAUCAGGGCGCCCCAGCGGUCACAGGCAUCAGUGGUUUGUAUAUUCUGGGAAGAAAAUGCACACUGAGAAGGUUCUGUGAAUGUUAAUUAAUGGGGGAAGUACUUUCACUUCUAAAGUUGCCCUUUCCUCUGAGGGCGUCAGGGAUACAGUGUCCUGCUCCGGCAGGGGCAUCGCUAACUGAGAGAAAAGCUGUCUUCAUGCCACCAAGGGCAGCCCCUCCCUGUGCAGCCUGGCAAACUCCAACCUGGCAAGGGUUCACUGCAUUUCCAAUCCCCUCUCCCCACUGGCUCAUCAUAUUAUGCCACCUUCUUUAACUCCUCUGUUUUUCUCUCCCCUUGUUUCCUACUCCUUGGGCCCCUGGGGGCACCAGUCGUUUCUACCUCCUUCUGGAGUAACCAGACACAAAAGGUGAAAUAGGAUCCGGGCAUCACUGGCAGGUCACCAGAAUCCCAAAGAGCCUGAACCCCUGGGGGAGGGGGGGAUUGUGGGAGGGGUGACACUGCCAGCCUGGCCAUCUGCCAUUGCUGCCACAGGAACCUUAUUCCUGAACACCUGGAAGUGUGAAGACUCUUGGGAAUCUUGCUCCCAAGUCGGAUGUCCAGAGCGAGGACAGCAUUUGUUAUUUGCAGGAUGAAAUAUGGCUGUCACGUAGACUAGACUAACAUGGGCCAUGGGGUAGCUGGGGAAGGAACGCUGGGAACUGGUGGGGUCCUUGGAACACUGGGAGACAGUCUUGGGUGCAGAAGGGCUACUGGGGAGCAGUACCCAGGUGGAAAGGCCCUUCAGGGACGUCCCCAAACAGGAACACUGACUGGGUCUUUGUGUCCCCUCCUGGGCUGGCUGGGGAAGGGCCAGCCCUCAGAUGGUGGCUCCUUUUAUAAGGAAACCAAGGUUGAGAGAGGUUAAGUGGCCAGAGGUUGCCGUGUUCCUGAGCUGCAUUCUUGCACUUGAACCCUGGCCUGCUAAUCGUAAAACUAUGACAACAGCCGUUUCCAUUUCUGCGUCCUCUCUUCAGUCAUUAAAUGCCAGCAGCCACAGAAGCUGAGAGCGUGGGUCUCUGUAAGAAUAUGGGGACAGUUUAGAGGUGCACUCCGUCUAAGGGGGAAGAAAAGUGCUAUUUCUUUUCCUUCGUAUGUAUUUUCUAUUAAAAAUUUAUAAUUAGCUGCCAGGCACAGAGGCGCACAUCUGUAAUCCCAGGAAAUCUGGAAGCUGAGGCGGAAAGAUCUCAAGUUUGCUGCCCAGCCUGGACAAGUUGGUGAGACCCUGUCUCAAAAUAGGAAAUGAAAAGAGCUGGGGAUGUAGCUCAGUGGUAGAGCACCUCUGGGUCCAAUCCCCAGCUCCCCAGUACAGGGACACACACACACACACACACACAAUUAAUGCUCAUUACUGUUGCAAUAGGGAACAAAUGUGCCCACCCCAGCCUUCCCAUCGGCUGGAAGGAACCGGUUUCUCCUUCCUUGGCCACGUCAGAGACGGCUGGGGUGCAGGCCACUCCUGCCGCAAGGUGCGGGCGUCCCCCUUGUCCCAGGGCCGUUCCUCCGUGCCCACGGCCAUGUCCCCCCUCUGGUUCUCUCUCCGCACAGAUGCAGAAUGUCAUGUACGACUUGAUCACGGAGCUCAACGACCGCAGCGAGGACCUGGAGAAGCAGAUCGGCAGCCUGGAGAGUAAGCUGGAGCACCUCACGGCCAGCUUCAACUCCCUGCCCCUGCUCAUCGCAGACACCCUGCGCCAGCAGCAGCAGCAGCUCCUGACGGCCAUCCUGGAGGCCCGGGGCGUCAGCGUGGCCGUGGGCACCACGCACGCCCCGCUCUCCGACAGCCCGAUCGGGGUCAGCUCCACCUCCUUCCCGACCCCGUACACGAGUUCAAGCAGUUGCUAAAUAAAACUCCCCUCUCCGGAAGCGUUACCCAUAGGUCUUAAGAUGCAGAUCCACUCUGUCCUGGUCGCUUUGCCAUCGCGGAACUCGGAGACCAGGGAGCGGAAAGAAGAGACGGAGCUCACUAGCUGACUCGGCCCACUCGUGCUUGGUUCGAAAUGCCUUGAAACCAGAAAUCUAAUCUCUGUUUAGGUGCCUCUACUUGGGAGCGGGACGAGGAGAGGACAGGAAGCGACGCCUCUGGCGGGGCCCUUGCUGCAGAGUUGGUGGAGAACAGAAUCCACGCUCAAUCUCAGGUCUUCACGUGGGGGUGGGAGGGGCAGGUGCUCGGAGCAGCCACGGUGAAGCCAGGCCAGAAGAGGGGCCUGGGAGAGGGGUGGGGCAGGCUUGGGGAUGGGUCCCUCGUGGGGACCUAGAGCAUGCCUCUCUCCUUCCGUCUAGAAAGCUUGGGUGACAAAAAGUAAGAGAGCUGCCCACAACUUGCCAAAACAGACAUACCCAGUUUAGACUGAAAAAAAGGUUGAUAAUGAGAACUGCACACACACACACACACACACAAAUACAAAUUAAAAGCCAGAUUUUUCCAUCCAACAUAAAUACCUAUAUAAGCCUGGGUGUUUGCACGUGCGCGCGCACACACACACACAAUUUCCCACACCCCACAUUCAGUCCAAGUCCUUUCUUGUUUGAACUUCACCCAAAUACAAAGGGACCUGAUAUUGUCCCCUGCACACAGUAGGCACUCUCUUAAUGAGUUGAGUGGGUUUGAAUAUGAACACAGGGUAUAUUCAGCCCAGGUAGUUAGGUAGUGUUGGCCACAUCCUGGGCCCCUCUGAAGACACAGGUCCCUUCCAACACAGUGCAGGUUGCUUUGCCCUGGAUACACACCGUGCAUGAUUUGAAGUGGAUGCCAAGCCAAAACUGUUGGCAUUCUGGAGGGGUAAGCAGGCUUCUGAAAAUAACAGCUUUUGCAGGGCUUCCUUCUUACAUCCAAACAAGCUGUUCUGAUGGACUACACACCCGUACUAUGUGAGGGAGGGGGUCCAGAGGAUUAUGCAUGUGUUUGCACAAUGCACCAACAGAUGCAACCCAAUGGCAUCUUGGUGGACAGAAGUAUUGUCUGGGGAUUUGCUGAGCUGUAUUCACCGAGCAGCAUGUUUCCAGCCCCUGACAUUAGAAAUGCAAAGGGUCAAGCACCUCACCUUGGAGCUGCUGAGCUGGGAGGAGAAGGAUAGAGAGUGGCCCACAUGGUCCCUUCUACCUGACCUGAAGUCACCUCAAAAUGAAAUAUUGUGAGAACAAAGGGAGUCUUUAGGGAAUCUUGUGGGUAAGGUAAGAAGAAUAGAUUUGUCAGAAGCCUAUGCAUAUUGUGCCAUGUUAAAUCUCGGUGCAAAAACAAUUUCAAUACAUCACAAAUUCCAAGAGACUCCAGAAACAUCAAGAUGCAGUGUAGUGACAGGAACCAAAUUUUUUUCUUUCAUUUCUCCAUAAUCUGUCCACACACAGUAUUUGUGUCAUGUUAUUCAUCAUUUUCCUCAUUCUGAUGUCCUUGACUUCUACUUGUGGGAAACUAAUGAUACUGUAUGGAAUAUUUCAUCUGUUUAGGGUCAAACAAAAGGGUGUUACUGCAUAGGGGGUUAUCAUUUGUGGUCGGGCUUUGUAACAAGUCAUCUCCAUUCAUAAGGCCAGGCUUUGUGGUGCAAAUUUUUAUUUUUAUUUUUAUUUUGGACUGGGGAUUGAACCCAGGGGUACUCUACCUUGAGCUACAAUCUCAGCCCUUUUUAUUUUUUGAGACAAGGCCUUGCUAAGUUGCUGAGACUGGCUUUGCAUUUGUGAUCUUCCUGUCUCAACCUCUGGAGUCCCUGGGAUCACAGGGGUGCAGCAUGGCUCCUGGUAGUAGAUUUUUCUUCUACAGCACUGGGCCUGGUCUUCUAAGGAUGAGGGAAUCACUAGACUGUAAGGUAGACAAUUCUAGAGCAAAGGCUACUCUUUCAGGAAGAUCUGGGCUCUUGCUAACCUUCUUCUUUUGGGUCUUGCUAUUGCUACCUUCCCCCCCCCCUCCCCAGUGCUGGGGAGGCAACCCAGAGCCUCACACAUUCUAAGCAAAUGCUCUGCCACUGAGUUAAACCUCAGGCCACUGCUGUUGUUUAAAUGAUCUGUCUUCUUAAAGGUUUAUCUUGAGAAUUUUCAUGGGUUGUUUUGCAUACUGGAGAUGCUACACCUGCUUUUGGCUUUUUAUAUUUUCCACUUGUUCUUUUAACUAUUGACUAUCUGGAAGACUCCCACCUCUUUUUUUCUUUUCCUUUUGUUCCAAGAAUGGUACUCCUAUUUUCAGUGACAGUUCCACCAAAUAUAUAAGCAGAUGUAUAAACAGAUGAAAUAGCCACACAGUUUAUUUGUGGCACUAAUUCUGCUUCACAACGUGCAGACCACUGAUGGUUCAACUUAAGGGUGCCAGUCCCGAUCAUUUAGACUACAGCCAUCAACUAUGGAUUCCUACUUACCCUUCCCUCCCACUAUAACUCUGUGCUGUGUGUGUGUGUGUGUGUGUGUGUGGUGUGUGCACGUGCACAUGGGUGUGUGCACACAGAGAGAUUUAGUCUUCAUUUCACAUAAAUGACUUACAGAAUUCACUGCCACUCCUCUUGCCCCAAAGUGUGUGCAGACUGUCAUUUAUCUGAAUUAUCACAGGCUGUAGAUAAUUCUUUUUAAAUCCAUUAUCGAUGCUCUUGCUAGGUCAACCCUGAAGAUGAAGUGAGCAAUGGUAGUUGAGGAAAUGGUUGGAGUUAUUUCCAGUAGCAGGAGCCAGGGGCAUCGUAGAGACACAUGGGCAUUGGUAGCAUGACUUGACCUAUUGGUAGUGCAAUAGCUAGGGUGAAUUUUAUCUUUGGCAAAAGAUACUCUUAAAAAAAAAAGUGAAUCUGCAUGUUGAUCCCUUAAUGGCAAAUGGGAUGUGACUUCUCUGUACUAGUGCUUCAGCUUUAUGUGGGGAAGUUACGAUUCUGCUGCAAGUACAAUCAACCCUUGAAGACCUAGGUGUUCAUUAUCCUGGGUGUAGCUCACCCGGAUUUUCCUCCUACAUCUUUUUGCUGAUUCCGCUGCACCUCAGCAACACAGUCAGAUGGGGGAAGGGGACCGGUGAAUUCUAAUGUCAUGCCUUCUUGUACCUGAUUCUCAAGUUUGGUCAUGGAAGAGGUUUAAUUAUCUGCUCAAGAAUGGGCUACAUGUAAAAACUAACCAUCACAGAAACCUCAGUCCAGUCCAGAACCCAUCAAUUUCCGCCCCCUUCUGGAAGGCUGACCCAGUGGCGGAGCCCCUGCUAUAACCUUUCCAAUAAUGCAGUGGCAGGUAAAAGCAUCCUAAUAAUCCACAGAAUAUCUAGACACUUGAAUUAGAAAUACAGAGCCACCCCCCUCCCAUCGCUUAAGCCAUAUUAUAGCUUCGUGUACUGAAAAGUCAGGGAUGUACUGUGAUACUUUAAGACCACUAAUCUCAGUGGAAUUUCAGGACAUAGCAUCAGUUGGUGAAUUAUACCAGACUAGAAGCUCACUCCUCCUUAGAUUGAAGUCCAAAUACAACCUGCACCUUUGGAUCAAAGGCCACAUAUCUGUGAUCAUCAUCAAUAACCAUUCUUGCCAUCUUCAUAAUAUGUCACUUCAUGCCAUCAUAUCUCUAGAAAUGCUUAAUAUAAUCCAAAAGAGCAAGAGGGGUACAGCCCUGAGUCCCCACUGAUGGCCUGACAUCUGUGGGGACCAGGGGCAUCAUAACCUCGUAAAUGAGGAGACGUGGAAAAUGUACAUGCAGGCCAGCUCUAAAGUGCUCAGUGCAAAUAGUUUUAUCAUUAAAGGUCGAGAAGGAGUAGCAUUAAAGAAAUGAUAAUUUUAAUAUAUUGGGGAUUUCCUCCUUAAAUUUUCCAUAAUUUCCUUGUGAAUAAAUCAUGAAAAAGAAGAAGACUAGUGAUACAAAAAUCAGAAUAAAUAAAAACUUAAGACUGGAUCCACAUCUUUGGCCAACUAAUAUAACCACUUUAUACCUCAGUUUCUCUGUACUUAUAAUGAAGACAAUAGUUACUAUUGCUAAGUACAAAGUAUUCAAUAGAGGAAAACAAUGAAACCAUUAUUGUCAUCGACAACAACCCAGCCUGACUCUAGCUAGUCCCCGAUUUGAUGUUGUAUUUGAAUGUAGUCAAUAGUUACCAAAAAGUAAUUAUUACAUAGCAAAUAAGUAGUGAAACUGGCAGGGAGAAAUAGCGCCUAGUUUCAGAACCACCCCUCUGCCUCCUCCAGAUUGUCACUUGAUAGACAGUGCACCCCCAAAUCAGAAUCAGUGUUUCAUCUCAGAACCAAGGAUUUUGCUACUACCAUCCAUCAUAAAAACCCAGCCGAGACACUAAUGAAGUCAUUGCACUACCAGUAGGUUGCUAUUCUUUUUUAAAAAUCACUGAAUUUAAAUCCUAAAAUUUGUCUCCAGUUUUACACAGUCAUUCUGCUUCCCUGAAGGUUGCUAGAAGCAGAUUAAGGAUCCGUUCGUGGUCAUCGGGCUGUCCCUGUUGGUUCCGCGGUGUUUGAUUUCAGUACCUUAGACAGCUAUCCGUGGCUUCCCGGCAGGCGUGGGGCAGCGCCUUCCCUCCCGCUGCAGUGUGCGGGCUUGAGGACGCCCUGGACACUAGCCCUUCCUUCCUUCCCCACUGCCGCCAGAGUCAACGUUUAGGAGAUCACUGGUACCACGAGGAAAGGAGCCUUACGGGGAGAGCUACGUCAACUUUCUGUCUGGGGUAGUGGGAAGCUCGUGCCAGGCUGCAUGAAUAGAAAUUAACACUUAACUCCUGUCAGGCGAGUAAUGCGUAGAUUUAUAUUGAGAUAGGCCACAGCUUAUUUAAGACGUACUCAGUGCAAGGGUAUAUAGAUACAUAUAGAUAGAGAAACAAUAUAACUGUGAUCUUUUUGUCUUACACCAUUACUGGAAACACCCAAACUCGAACUGGAGUUCCCUCUGAACAAAAACCAUUGUCAAAUCUUCAACGGAUGACCUCCAUACCUAGGUGCCAAGUGCCCCGUGACAGUGUUUACACACCUGGGAAUUGUAGUCUGGAAGCUGUAAUCUUGGGCCUGGACAAACAAAAGAGACGUCGUGACCAACCGAGCUGGUGGAGGAAAAGCACAAAACCCAAUACCAACCUGUACAGUUAGGAUCCCAAAGAGAUGCUGACAUUUCCGGCCAAAAACAAACAAAAAAACAAUAGUGACAAAUCAAAUCUGAUUGGAACCGCCAACAUCCAGGUUCUCGGAAGAAGGACAGGGAAUAAACGACAUUCUCUAGCUGUGUCCGUUUUUGAAUCCCAACCAGGACUGACCGACCUUCAUCAGACGUUUUUAACGGCGCAACAACUCGAUUUGGGUCCCAGACUCUCCAUUCUGCGCGGCCACAAGAGAACAACAAGAGAGCAUGACAGGAUGUUCAUGGAGGGGACAUUUCCAUGGCAAACUCAGAGACUGAAGUGUUUAUAUCCUGAAUCAGACGAGCUUCAAUAUGAAUUUGCAUCUUGCCUCUGUACUGCUUGCUAUUUUUUAAAUGAUAGGAGAAAGCAUAACAGUUUAUUUUAAAUAUGAAAUAUAUUGCUAUAUUAUAAAAUAUAUUGUAACUUUCAAUUAACAUUUUGUAUCAAACUAGUCUUUAGCAGGUCCAGUGUCAGCCUGCUCUCCCAACCACUGUUUCUGAGUACACAUCAUUGUUAGAGAUCGCCUGACUCCCAGGCCACAGGCCUGGUCCCACAACCUAUGAACUGCCAUAUUCUCAUUUUUCUAAGACCUAAAUAUUAGUGACAAAAAAAAAAUACUAUUACAAACUUAGAAGGAUGAUUCUACCCUAAAAUCUGUCAAGCCAUUUCAGAAGAGAUUUUAAAAGCCAUCACUCCUUUAAGUAACAGCACAGAGCCAGUUUAAUAAAAGUACAGAUUCUUUCUAUAGAAAUGCAAAGACCCCAUGCUAUAAAUUAGGUCUCCACUGCAGCCAACCCGUUUUCCUUUGGCCAUGUCAAAAUUGGGCACAAGGAAGAAUCCUGUUUUUCUUGUGACUCAAAAGACUCAAAAUUUCUAAGCAUUGUGAGUUGCUUAGUUGUGUGUGGGAAGAGUAAAAACGGGGUUUGAGUCCCCCCAGGCAGGGCCCAGGGAGAGCCCAUGCAGAUGUGCUUUUCUGAGUUGGCAAUUUCCUGAAGGGAGCGCGGUUUCCACGUGUCUGUCACCAACGUGGAGCCCGGCUCUUGUGGCAAGAAGAGGCAGGACACCCACAGGAGGAUCCAGCAAAGAGCUGGGCUCCCUGUUCUGCUCAUUUACCCUUAGCUGGAGGAAUCCUUUUCGGCUAAGAUGUUUUCUUUUAUGGCAAAAUUAAGCAACUCAUGAAAUCCACUCCCCUCCUGCAGCUGAGACACAUGUAGAAUCUCUCAGUUCCCUCUUUUGAAUGACCACGUUCCUAUUUCUAGAUGAAAACGGAUGUAUUCAGUUACAGAACAAAGAUUUCCUCAAAUCAGUGAGCCUCCUCCAGGUGAGGACCCUCCCUUUCAGUCACGGUUUCUGUUUAGUAUUGUAUAGGUGCAAACCAAAUAGCAUAAAGGUAGGUUUAACUUAGCUUGUGUGUCUCAACACAAACGUGGGAAAUUCAACAGCUAUCCAGAUAGUACCAAACAACAGGGUUUCUCCUUGGGUGGGGGUGUGGGGGACUGGAAUCCUCCCAACUUUCAGUGUGUUUGAACUUCAAUUCUCUUGUUCAUCUCACUAAAACCAAGGCUUGGGUCUCCAUGAUGUUAGUUAUUCAUGGAGCGUGAAAGCAAAAUCUCUAAAUGCCCAUUUCAAUCUGCUUGAGUAGUUGAGUCCCAUUUUGUACACAAGUUGUGUCUGUGUGGAGCUAAAUACACUCAGCGUCUGUGUCACUCCUCAGUUACACGCUAGGCUGAGUGCCAUUAAAGCCAUCAGAACUCUGGGGCACCUGCUUUAGUUUAUUUCCUCGCUGGGUAAUGGAAAUUAGCUAAUUCUCAACUUUAUCAUUGACUGAUGAAAUGCACUGAUGGUCAUCGAUUUGUUUCUUAAUACUUUUCUGCUGCUAAAUAGAACUAUCUCUUUUGGCUUUUCCUUCUAGCACUUCCCAGACUGACAAAGAUGUUUCCAUUUAUAGAGAACAAAUACAUUCUGACCUUUCCCAACAAAGUUGUUACUCAACGAAACCAACACAAAUUCCAGAGUUGGGGAAAGCAGAACUCUGGACUGUAAUUCAAGUGCAUGGCUAUAUGCUAAUCCUUGCUACUCUGGAGUGUGGCCCAUGGGUUAGCAGCAGUAGAAUCACCUGUAAGCUCUCUAGAAAUGCAGAAUCUCAAGCCUCACAUCAAACCUGCUUAAAUCGGCCUUUUCACAAGAUCCCCAGGUGAUCUGUAUGCACAGUAAACAUUGAGAAGGGCUAGCUUCACCCCACGGUAACAGACCAACCUCAUUAAUAAUUAGAGAAUGAAACCAUUUCUUUCCUGAGCUUCAUUUACCAGAUGACUUGGUGAUGUAAAACCCCUUUAUGAUCAUAAGGAUAAAGACAAAUGCAUCUUCAAAUUCCAUUUGAAGUCAUACAGCUUGGAUGGUGUACAUGAAACAGUAGAGUCAAUAAGAGGCGGUCUUUUUCUAGCCUAAUUUAAAGAGGGCUCACUUUAUAGCCUUGAGCAACUUCAAAGCCCCUUUUAAGCUUUUUUUUUUUUUUUUUUUUCAUUUUAGCUUGUGCUAGCAAGGCCAGGAGGAUAUGAGGUGGAGCCUCAGGGCAGGUCCCCUGAAACAGAAGGCCCCCUGGGUCUCUCCGCUAGCAUAGUGCAAAGGAAGCUGCCUUUUGUGAUCUCUGUGUUUCUUCUGAACUCUCCUCCUCUAGAGGAAACUAGCAAGGGAAAUCAGUUCAACCACUGGAAACAGUCCUAAUGUCUUCUAAAGCCAAUUCUCUUAUUUCAUUGCACCAACCAAGGUGGGGAGAGAAAGAUGGGAAUUCUGAUAUUGGCGCCAUAAAUUGAUAUGUACCCAGAAACAGUUAAUGUUCUAAAUUAAUGGCUUUAACCUGUUCAUUGUAAAAAGUGCCUUGGACUUCAAUCUAAAGAGGUCAGUAUAAAUAUGUAUGUGUGUGUGUGAUGUGUAUGUAGGCAAAUAUUUACAUAUUUAUACAUACAUAGGUGCACACACGUAUACCUGCACAUUCAUAUAUAAUAUAUAUAUAUAUAUAUACAUACAUAUAUAAAUGCUUCGUAAUAUAUCAUUGCUAUUCAUAGCUCCAUUUCUUGUCCGGUCCU
rnacentral:lncRNA from 1 species